AAUUUUGGACAAUGGGGGAAACUCUGAUCCAGCCAUCCCGCGUGUAUGAUGAAGGCCUUCGGGUUGUAAAGUACUUUUGUUAGAUAAGAAAAGGUACCUCCUAAUACGAGGUACUGCUGACGGUAUCUGUAGAAUAAUCACCGGCUAUCUACGUGCCAGCAGCCGCGGUAAUACGUAGGGUGCAAGCGUUAAUCGGACUUACUGGGCGUAAAGCGUGUGUAGGCGGUUCGGAAAGAAAGAUGUGAAAUCCCAGGGCUCAACCUUGGAACUGCAAUUUUAACUGCCGAGCUAGAGUAUGACAGAGGGGGGUAGAAUUCCACGUGUAGCAGUGAAAUGCGUAGAUAUGUGGAGGAAUACCGAUGGCGAAGGCAGCCCCCUGGGAUAAUACUGACGCUCAGACACGAAAGCGUGGGGAGCAAACA
rnacentral:rRNA from 1 species